CACAAGAGUGUCAUGAUGCC
rnacentral:siRNA from 1 species